rnacentral:rRNA from 1 species
AAUCAACGCUGGCGGCGUGCCUAACACAUGCAAGUCGAACGAGAAAGUGACUUCGGUCACUGGAUAGUGGCGUCCGGGUGAGUAACACGUGGGUAAUCUACCCUCGGGUGGGGAAUAACGUCUCGAAAGAGACGCUAAUACCGCAUAAUGCAGCGGCACCUAAUGGUGAAUAGUUGUUAAAGCGGGGGAUCGCAAGACCUCGCGCCUGAAGAGGAGCCUGCGGCAGAUUAGCUAGUUGGUGAGGUAAUGGCUCACCAAGGCUUCGAUCUGUAGCUGGUCUGAGAGGACGGCCAGCCACACUGGCACUGACACACGGGCCAGACUCCUACGGGAGGCAGCAGUGGGGAAUUUUGGGCAAUGGACGAAAGUCUGACCCAGCAACGCCGCGUGAGGGAGGAAAUCCUUCGGGAUGUAAACCUCGCAAGCAAGGGAAGAAUGCUUGAGACCUAACACGUCUCAAGAGGGACGGUACCUUGCGUAAGCCACGGCU